rnacentral:misc_RNA from 1 species
AACCAUAGAAACCUGCGGAGUACCUGCGGAAGGAUCAUUACAGAGUUGCAAAACUCCCACAAACCACCGCGAAUCUUACCCGUACGGUUGCCUCGGCGCUGGCGGUCCGGAAGGCCCUCGGGCCCCCGGACCCUCGGGUCCCCCGCUCGCGGGGGGCUGCCCGCCGGAGUGCCGAAACCAAACUCUUGAUAUUUUAUGUCUCUCUGAGUAAACUUUUAAAUAAGUCAAAACUUUCAACAA